rnacentral:rRNA from 1 species
UACGUAGGGUGCGAGCGUUGUCCGGAAUUACUGGGCGUAAAGAGCUCGUAGGUGGUUUGUCGCGUUGUCCGUGAAAACUCACAACUCAAUUGUGGGCGUGCGGGCGAUACGGGCAGACUUGAGUACUGCAGGGGAGACUGGAAUUCCUGGUGUAGCGGUGGAAUGCGCAGAUAUCAGGAGGAACACCGAUGGCGAAGGCAGGUCUCUGGGCCGGAACUGACGCUGAGGAGCGAAAGCGUGGGGAGCAAACAGG